rnacentral:rRNA from 1 species
GACGAAGGAUGCAAGCGUUAUCCGGAUUCAUUGGGUUUAAAGGGAGCGUAGGUGGCCUUAUAAGUCAGUGGUGAAAUCUCUGGGCUUAACCCAGAAAUUGCCAUUGAUACUGUAGGGCUUGAGUAUAGUUGCCGUUGGCGGAAUAUGACAUGUAGUGGUGAAAUACAUAGAGAUGUCAUAGAAUACCGAUUGCGAAGGCAGCUGACGAAACUAUAACUGACACUGAGGCUCGAAAGUGUGGGGAUCAAACAGG